GAACUUGGCUAUCUAGAGGAAGUAAAAGUCCCAACAAGGUUUCUGCAGGAGAACCUGCAGAAGGAUCAUUA
rnacentral:ncRNA from 1 species